rnacentral:misc_RNA from 1 species
GAUGAAGAACGCAGCGAAAUGCGAUAAGUAGUGUGAAUUGCAGAAUUCAGUGAAUCAUCGAAUCUUUGAACGCACAUUGCGCCCUUUGGUAUUCCUUAGGGCAUGCCUGUUCGAGCGUCAUUUAAACCUUCAAGCUCAGCUUGGUGUUGGGUGACUGUCCGCUUCGCCGCGGACUCGCCUCAAAAUUAUUGGCGGCCGGUACAUUGGCUUCGAGCGCAGCAGAAACGCGAACUCGGGCCCGUCGUAUUGGCUCCCAGAAGCUAUCUUCACAAUUUUGACCUCGGAUCAGGUAGGGAUACCCGCUGAACUUAAGCAUAUCAAUAAGCGGAGGA